GAUGAACGCUAGCGGGAGGCCUAACACAUGCAAGCCGAGCGGUAUUGUUUCUUCGGAAAUGAGAGAGCGGCGUACGGGUGCGGAACACGUGUGCAACCUGCCUUUAUCUGGGGGAUAGCCUUUCGAAAGGAAGAUUAAUACUCCAUAACAUAUUGAUUGGCAUCAAUUAAUAUUGAAAGCUCCGGCGGAUAGAGAUGGGCACGCGCAAGAUUAGCUAGUUGGUGAGGUAACGGCUCACCAAGGCGAUGAUCUUUAGGGGGCCUGAGAGGGUGAUCCCCCACACUGGUACUGAGACAUGGACCAGACUCCUACGGGAGGCAGCAGUGAGGAAUAUUGGUCAAUGGGUGCAAGCCUGAACCAGCCAUCCCGCGUGAAGGACGACUGCCCUAUGGGUUGUAAACUUCUUUUGUAUAGGGAUAAACCUACCCUCGUGAGGGUAGCUGAAGGUACUAUACGAAUAAGCACCGGCUAACUCCGUGCCAGCAGCCGCGGUAAUACGGAGGGUGCAAGCGCUAUCCGGAUUUAUUGGGUUUAAAGGGUCCGUAGGCGGACUUAUAAGUCAGUGGUGAAAGCCUGUCGCUUAACGAUAGAACUGCCAUUGAUACUGUAAGUCUUGAGUAUAUUUGAGGUAGCUGGAAUAAGUAGUGUAGCGGUGAAAUGCAUAGAUAUUACUUAGAACACCAAUUGCGAAGGCAGGUUACCAAGAUAUAACUGACGCUGAGGGACGAAAGCGUGGGGAGCGAACAGGAUUAGAUACCCUGGUAGUCCACGCCGUAAACGAUGCUAACUCGUUUUUGGGCUUUAGGGUUCAGAGACCAAGCGAAAGUGAUAAGUUAGCCACCUGGGGAGUACGCUCGCAAGAGUGAAACUCAAAGGAAUUGACGGGGGCCCGCACAAGCGGUGGAUUAUGUGGUUUAAUUCGAUGAUACGCGAGGAACCUUACCAAGACUUAAAUGGGAAUUGACAGCUUUAGAAAUAGAGCUUUCUUCGGACAAUUUUCAAGGUGCUGCAUGGUUGUCAUCAGCUCGUGCCGUGAGGUGUUAGGUUAAGUCCUGCAACGAGCGCAACCCCUGUCACUAGUUGCCAUCAUUCAGUUGGGGACUCUAGUGAGACUGCCUACGCAAGUAGAGAGGAAGGUGGGGAUGACGUCAAAUCAUCACGGCCCUUACGUCUUGGGCCACACACGUAAUACAAUGGCCGGUACAGAGGGCAGCUACACAGCGAUGUGAUGCAAAUCUCGAAAGCCGGUCUCAGUUCGGAUUGGAGUCUGCAACUCGACUCUAUGAAGCUGGAAUCGCUAGUAAUCGCGCAUCAGCCAUGGCGCGGUGAAUACGUUCCCGGGCCU
rnacentral:rRNA from 1 species